rnacentral:misc_RNA from 1 species
GGUGAAGAACGCAGCGAAAUGCGAUAAGUAAUGUGAAUUGCAGAAUUCAGUGAAUCAUCGAAUCUUUGAACGCACAUUGCGCCCGCCAGUAUUCUGGCGGGCAUGCCUGUCUGAGCGUCAUUUCAACCCUCAUGCCCCUAGGGCGUGGUGUUGGGGAUCGGCCAAAGCCCGCGAGGGACGGCCGGCCCCUAAAUCUAGUGGCGGACCCGUCGUGGCCUCCUCUGCGAAGUAGUGAUAUUCCGCAUCGGAGAGCGAUGAGCCCCUGCCGUUAAACCCCCAACUUUCCAAGGUUGACCUCAGAUCAGGUAGGAAUACCCGCUGAACUUAAGCAUAUCAAUAAGCGGAGGA